rnacentral:rRNA from 1 species
UACGAAGGGGGCUAGCGUUGUUCGGAAUUACUGGGCGUAAAGCGCGCGUAGGCGGUGAUCUUUGUCAGAGGUGAAAGCCUGGGGCUCAACUCCAGAAUUGCCUUUGAAACGGGAUCGCUUGAGUCCGAGAGAGGAUGGCGGAAUUCCUAGUGUAGAGGUGAAAUUCGUAGAUAUUAGGAAGAACACCGGUGGCGAAGGCGGCCAUCUGGCUCGGUACUGACGCUCAGGCGCGAAAGCGUGGGGAGCAAACAGG